GAUGAACGCUGGCGGCGUGCCUAAUACAUGCAAGUCGAGCGCAGCGGGGACGGGUGAGUCACACGUGGAUAAACUCCUAUAAGACUGGGAUAACUUCGGGAAACCGGAGAUCAACCGGAUCAUUAUAGAUGGAGACGGGCUGCAUUAGCUAGUUGGUAAGGUAACGGCUUACCAAGGCAACGAGGCAUAGCCGACCUUAGAGUGGGAUCGGCCACACGGGAAGUGGGAAACGGUCCAUACUCGUACGCGAGGCAGCAGUAGGGAAGCUUCCGCAAUGGGCGAAAGCCUGACGGAGCAACGCCGCGUGUUUGAUGAAGGUCUUCGGAUCGUAAAACUCUGUUAUUAGGUAAGCGGUACCUAAUCAGAAAGCCACGGCUAACUACGUGCCAGCAGCCGCGGUAAUAC
rnacentral:rRNA from 1 species